rnacentral:rRNA from 1 species
UGGGGAAUAUUGGACAAUGGAGGAAACUCUGAUCCAGCAAUUCUGUGUGUGUGAAGAAGGUUUUAGGACUGUAAAACACUUUUAGUAGGGAAGAAAAAAAUGACGGUACCUACAGAAGAAGCAACGGCUAAAUACGUGCCAGCAGCCGCGGUAAUACGUAUGUUGCGAGCGUUAUCCGGAUUUAUUGGGCGUAAAGCGAGCGCAGGCGGUUAGAAAAGUCUGAAGUGAAAGGCAGUGGCUCAACCAUUGUAGGCUUUGGAAACUGUUUAACUUGAGUGCAGAAGGGGAGAGUGGAAUUCCAUGUGUAGCGGUGAAAUGCGUAGAUAUAUGGAGGAACACCGGUGGCGAAAGCGGCUCUCUGGUCUGUAACUGACGCUGAGGCUCGAAAGCGUGGGGAGCGAACAGG